ACGGAGGGUGCGAGCGUUAAUCGGAAUUACUGGGCGUAAAGCGCGCGUAGGCGGUUAGUUAAGUCGGAUGUGAAAGCCCUGGGCUCAACCUGGGAACUGCAUUCGAUACUGGCCAACUAGAGUGCAAGAGAGGGAGGUAGAAUUCCACGUGUAGCGGUGAAAUGCGUAGAUAUGUGGAGGAAUACCGGUGGCGAAGGCGGCCUCCUGGCUUGACACUGACGCUGAGGUGCGAAAGCGUGGGGAGCAAACAGG
rnacentral:rRNA from 1 species